rnacentral:sRNA from 1 species
GCUGGGCAUGGUGGCACGUGCCUGUAAUCCCAGCUACUCGGGAGGCUGAGGCAGGAGAAUCACUUGAACCCGGGAGGUGGAGGCUGAGGUGACCUGAGAUCGCGCCAUUGCACUCCAGCCUGGGCAACAAGAGUGAAACUCCGUCUCAAAAAAAAAAAAACCAUAAAAUUUCACUUUAUUGAUGGACGAGGUUUUUUUUUUUUUUUAAUUUUUUUUUUUGAGACAGAGUCUUGCUCUGUCGCCCAGGCUGGAGUGCAGUGGUGUGAUCUCAGCUCACUGCAACCUCCGCCUCCUGGGUUCAAGUGAUUCUCCUGCCUCAG